rnacentral:lncRNA from 13 species
AUGGAUAUCAGUCUAACAAUUUCCCUAAUGCGGGGACAGAUGGGUACCGUGAUAGAGAGAGCGGUUAGUGCCGCUGUUGAGACGGUGUUGGGAGAGAUGCUUAGAGUGGUCGGCAUUAAAUUCGACGAGCUGAAGAUGGAGGUAGUAGCUAAAGAGAAAGAGGCGGAGAACAUAAGACAGAUGCUGGAGAUAUCCCGAUCUCAGAUUAAGACCAUGCGGAAACACAUGAACGCUCUGGAUGAGAACGCGCACUCUGCCACUUAUCAGACCUACCGGACAGCAUUCGGCCAUUCUGAUCCCCGCAGAAUUCACGGUUCCUCCGAGGCCGCACUGUCCUCGGGUUUACCACAGCCGCCGAGAAGGACGGUUCCAAACAACAACCAAAUUCCCACUACAAAUGGAAACGUACAGGCAAGGAAUCGAGUCACCAUCACCAUACCCUCUGAGAAUAUGGUCAGGGCCACCCAGCCCUCUGAUAAUUUGGUCAGGGCCACCCAGCCCUCUGAUAAUUUGGUCAGGGCCACCCAGCCCUCUGAUCAUUUGGUCAGGGCCACCCAGCCCUCUGAUAAUAUGGUAACCGUUAGGGCAACAUCCUUUGACAGUCACGAUGAUCUGACAACUGUGAUCUCCCCGACUCUGGAGGACCGGACAUUGACACCCACUGUCUCUGCAAUGAACAGUUCAUCAGAGCAUCUGGAACCUUUGAAAGAGGAGCCCCCAGCCCUCCUAGACCCCAAGGUGUCUGAUGAGAGCCAGAGGAGGGAGGAGGAAGAAGAGUGUCAGGCUGAGUGGACCAUAAGUACACAGCCACCAGAGACAAGCACAGACCCGGGGGCCCAGCUGGUCCUCUCCCCUCCCAGGACUGACGGAGCAGACUGCUCUGCCAGGAGUGUACUGCCAUCCUCCCAGCCCCUGUCCCAGUUCCAAGUGAAAGAGGAGGAAGCUGAGGUGGAGAUCAUCUGUAUCAAACAGGAACCAGAGGAGGUGGAGACCCUGCUGAUAAACCUGGCUGCCGAAGGCUUCAACUCGCAGGGCAACCUUUUAGAUAGGCAGACUCAGGGCAACCUCCUCCUGGACAGUCAUAGGACCAUCCCAGGCUCUCAAAGCCAGAGGGAUAGGAGAGCACCCUGUCCACCACAGAGCCAGAGGACCUUAGCAGAGAAUACACCCUUCACCUCAGCCGACUCUUGUUCAUAUGGGCUGUCCCAGGCAGUGAUGUCCAUGUCAGGAGUUGCUCCCAGGCCCAUGGUGCGUCCGUGGCCCAAGGACCUGAGUCUGUACGAGGAGUUUAAAAUGAGACGAACUGAGCUGAGGAGGAGGAGCCAGAACCGUCAGAGGGAGAUGGAGAAGAAUCUUCCCCAGCCUCUAUUAGCUGACCUGGUGAAGGAGAGACGGGAGAAGACCCGGCUCAGAGUGGCCCGCUGGAGAGCCAAGAGGAAGCUGCAGGCCUGUCUACUGACUCAGAUGACCCAACAGACACAACACCAACAGACUGGACCUGGACUGGGCCAGGGGAAUAGUCUGAACAGUGGGCUGGGGAAUCAUAGCCAGAUUAGCCACCACACGCAACACAAAACCACAGGCCCCACUCAGACUCCUCAGAGGAACAAUGCUGCCGUCUCUCAAUCGCAAUACAAUAACAGUUUUUUGUACAACAGAAGUCACUGUGAGACUGGGGCUGGUAACGUUAACUACCCUCCUCUCCAGUUCAACUCCUCCUCUCUAAUGCUGGGGCAACAUGGAGGACACAAUAUGGUG